GCAUAACGCGAAGAACCUUACCAAGGCUUGACAUACACCAGAACACCCUAGAAAUAGGGGACUCUUUGGACACUGGUGAACAGGUGGUGCAUGGUUGUCGUCAGCUCGUGUCGUGAGAUGUUGGGUUAAGUCCCGCAACGAGCGCAACCCUCGUUCUAUGUUGCCAGCACGUAAUGGUGGGAACUCAUGGGAUACUGCCGGGGUCAACUCGGAGGAAGGUGGGGAUGACGUCAAAUCAUCAUGCCCCUUAUGUCUUGGGCUUCACGCAUGCUACAAUGGCCGGUACAAAGGGCUGCAAAACCGCGAAGUUUAGCUAAUCCCAAAAAGCCACUCUCAGUUCGGAUUGCAGGCUGCAACUCGCCUGCAUGAAGUCGGAAUCGCUAGUAAUCGCAGAUCAGCAUGCUGCGGUGAAUACGUUCCCGGGUCUUGUACACACCG
rnacentral:rRNA from 1 species